UACGUAGGGACCAAGCGUUGUUCGGAUUUACUGGGCGUAAAGGGCGCGUAGGCGGCUUGACAAGUCACUUGUGAAAUCUCCGGGCUUAACUCGGAACUGCCAAGUGAAACUGUCAUGCUAGAGUGCAGAAGGGGCAAUCGGAAUUCUUGGUGUAGCGGUGAAAUGCGUAGAUAUCAGGAGGAACACCGGUGGCGAAGGCGGGUCUCUGGGCCGAUACUGACGCUGAGGAGCGAAAGCGUGGGGAGCGAACAGG
rnacentral:rRNA from 1 species